AGCGAACGCUGGCGGCAGGCCUAACACAUGCAAGUCGAACGACCCUUCGGGGUUAGUGGCGGACGGGUGAGUAACACGUGGGAACGUGCCUUUAGGUUCGGAAUAACUCAGGGAAACUUGUGCUAAUACCGAAUGGGCCCCUCGGGGGAAAGAUUUAUCGCCUUUAGAGCGGCCCGCGUCUGAUUAGCUAGUUGGUGAGGUAAUGGCUCACCAAGGCUACGAUCAGUAGCUGGUCUGAGAGGAUGACCAGCCACAUUGGGACUGAGACACGGCCCAAACUCCUACGGGAGGCAGCAGUGGGGAAUCUUGCGCAAUGGGCGAAAGCCUGACGCAGCCAUGCCGCGUGGAUGAUGAAGGUCUUAGGAUUGUAAAAUCCUUUCACCGGUGAAGAUAAUGACUGUAGCCGGAGAAGAAGCCCCGGCUAACUUCGUGCCAGCCGCCGCAGUAAAAC
rnacentral:rRNA from 1 species